UCAUCUUCCUUCAUCGUACUUCAAUUUCAUUGGAAGAAUUACCAAUAAAACCAGAAGCUCCUCUUCAAUCUUUCCCUAUGAAUCCUAUCUUCACCUUCACUCUGCAACGAAUCUCCAUCUCCAUAACCGAAGUCUCUACUUCUGAAAUCUUCAUCAUUCUUUGUUCCGUUUUCAUCGAUUUCUUUUGCAACUCCCAACAAAUCCACAACCACAACUACUGCAAUAAUCUUCAGCAAGUUAUUAUCAGCAAAUCAUCAAUAUCAACGCUUCUCCAUCAACUUGCAAAGAACACAUCAAUAACCAUAAUGCUUAGCAUCGUAUCCCCAACACAUGGAAUUGACGCGACAAAAAAUUGCAAAUCGUAA